UACGUAGGGGGCAAGCGUUGUUCGGAAUUACUGGGCGUAAAGGGCGCGUAGGCGGCACGGCAAGUCAGAAGUGAAAGGCCUGGGCUCAACCGAGGAACUGCUUUUGAGACUGCCGAGCUAGAGUGCGGAAGGGGCAACCGGAAUUCCCAGUGUAGCGGUGAAAUGCGUAGAUAUUGGGAAGAACACCUGAGGCGAAGGCGGGUUGCUGGGCCGACACUGACGCUGAGGCGCGAAAGCCAGGGGAGCAAACGGG
rnacentral:rRNA from 1 species